rnacentral:rRNA from 1 species
ACGGAAGGCAGCAGUGAGGAAUAUUGGUCAAUGGGCGAGAGCCUGAACCAGCCAAGUCGCGUGAAGGAUGAAGGUUCUAUGGAUUGUAAACUUCUUUUAUUCGAGGGUAAAGUGAGUCACGUGUGGUUCAUUGCAAGUAUCGAAUGAAUAAGCAUCGGCUAACUCCGUGCCAGCAGCCGCGGUAAUACGGAGGAUGCGAGCGUUAUCCGGAUUUAUUGGGUUUAAAGGGUGCGUAGGCGGGACGUUAAGUCAGUGGUAAAGGCGUGUGGCUCAACCAUACCAAGCCAUUGAAACUGUCGUUCUUGAGUGUAAACGAGGUAGGCGGAAUGUGACGUGUAGCGGUGAAAUGCUUAGAUAUGUCACAGAACCCCGAUUGCGAAGGCAGCUUACCAGCAUACAACUGACGCUGAGGCACGAAAGCGUGGGUAUCAAACAGGAUUAGAUACCCUGGUA